rnacentral:rRNA from 1 species
AGAGUUUGAUUCUGGCUCAGAACGAACGCUGGCGGCGCGUUUUAAGCAUGCAAGUCGAGCGGCAAGGGCCUUCGGGCCCCUAGAGCGGCGGACGGGUGAGUAACACGUGGACAAUCUGCCCCCCGGCCGGGGAUAGCCCAGGGAAACCUGGAUUAAUACCGGAUGAGACGGGACCCGCGGAGGCGGGAUCCGGGAAAGGCGCUGCGGCGCCGCCGGGGGAUGAGUCUACGUCCCAUUAGCUUGACGGCGGGGUAACGGCCCACCGUGGCGACGAUGGGUAGCCGGCCUGAGAGGGUGUACGGCCACAUUGGAACUGAGACACGGUCCAGACUCCUACGGGAGGCAGCAGCUAAGAAUCUUCCGCAAUGGGCGAAAGCCUGACGGAGCGACGCCGCGUGAACGAAGAAGGCCGUGAGGUUGUAAAGUUCUUUUCGGGAGGGGGAACAACCGUGGCAGGGAAUGGCCGCGGGAUGACGUGAAUCCCGGAAUAAGCCCCGGCUAACUACGUGCCAGCAGCCGCGGUAACACGUAGGGGGCGAGCGUUGUUCGGAAUCAUUGGGCGUAAAGGGCGUGCAGGCGGUCCUGCAAGUCCGGCGUGAAAGACCCCGGCCCAACCGGGGGGGCGCGCUGGAAACUGCAGGGCUUGAGUACAGGAGGGGAUGCCGGAAUUCCAGGUGUAGGGGUGAAAUCUGUAGAUAUCUGGAGGAACACCAAUGGCGAAGGCAGGCAUCUGGCCAUGUACUGACGCUGAGACGCGAAGGUGCGGGGAGCAAACAGGAUUAGAUACCCUGGUAGUC